CAUGCUCGCUUUAGUUUUGUAUAGUAUUAUCAUCAUGCAUGUUAUUUUGUGGAUUGCAUUAAUCUUGACUACUGUUGUCACUCUAUGUGGAGGAAUGUGUGAAUCCUGCUGCAAAAUGUCAGCUUGUAACCCAAAAUCCCUGUAAAAAUUAUGGUAUCUGUACACCACCCGAGAACGGUUAUAGCUGAAGUUGUACUCCUGGAUAAGCUACAUUGACGUGAAUGCAUGUCGACCUAACCCGUGUAAAAAUAAUGUUACGUUUUUACCAGUUGAUAAGGGUUACAUCUGUAAUUGUGCUACAGGAUAUUUAGGAGAAAACUGUGACGUUAACCCAUGUCAUAUAGACAACCACUGUAUAAACAAUGGCACGUGCUAUCCAUCAGAAUUUGGCGUGAAUUGUAGCUGUUCUCAUGGAUUUAUAGGAGAAUUUGGUCAAGAUUCCGAAGACACAAAACCAGUUAAAGAGGAAUGUGACGUGUCAGAGUGUAAUUCUAGGCGUGGAGUGUGUCUCAGACGACGAUGUCUUGGCAAUGAUUACAAUUGUGGUGGCGAAGCAUGUGAUAGAGUUAACAAGGAAGUCUGUCUAGAUGAUACGUGUGUAUACAGAAGUGAACAUUGUGAGACGACAAUAAAUGUCAUAAGAGUACUAUGUAAGGAUAUAGGUGAUCAAUGUGAGGAUGGUACAUUCUGUUCCCGCCAUGAUAAAUGUGUAAAUGACACGUGUCGACCAAUAGGUGACCACGCUACACGUGGCUGUUCUACACAAACUGGUGGCACUUGUUCGGAUGGUGCUUGUCCCGUACCAUGUAGGGGAAGCAGGGAAUGUCGAGCUCAGCCAUGUGUCGGUGGAUACUGUGCACGUAAAUAUUCACUAUUCUAUUUAUACCACCCAUCAAUAUGACCUAAUUUGUAUAUAUCAUCCAUCAGCAUAACCUGCACCUAAAUGUGGAGAGUCAUAUUGCCAUACCCUGCAAUCAAACUAAUUUAUGUUGUACAGAGACCCACUUUUAGUAUAUUCAUUAACCAUUGAUAUAAGGUUUAAUAUAAUAAACUAUGUUGUAAUAUUUAACAUAAUAAACUAUAUUGUAAUGUUUACAUAAUAAACUAUAUUGUAAUA